rnacentral:rRNA from 1 species
CAUAGGUUAAUGAGGCGAACCGGGGGAACUGAAACAUCUAAGUACCCCGAGGAAAAGAAAUCAACCGAGAUUCCCCCAGUAGCGGCGAGCGAACGGGGAGCAGCCCAGAGCCUGAAUCAGUGUGUGUGUUAGUGGAAGCGUCUGGAAAGGCGCGCGAUACAGGGUGACAGCCCCGUACACAAAAAUGCACAUACUGUGAGCUCGAUGAGUAGGGCGGGACACGUGGUAUCCUGUCUGAAUAUGGGGGGACCAUCCUCCAAGGCUAAAUACUCCUGACUGACCGAUAGUGAACCAGUACCGUGAGGGAAAGGCGAAAAGAACCCCGGCGAGGGGAGUGAAAAAGAACCUGAAACCGUGUACGUACAAGCAGUGGGAGCACGCUUAGGCGUGUGACUGCGUACCUUUUGUAUAAUGGGUCAGCGACUUAUAUUCUGUAGCAAGGUUAACCGAAUAGGGGAGCCGAAGGGAAACCGAGUCUUAACUGGGCGUUAAGUUGCAGGGUAUAGACCCGAAACCCGGUGAUCUAGCCAUGGGCAGGUUGAAGGUUGGGUAACACUAACUGGAGGACCGAACCGACUAAUGUUGAAAAAUUAGCGGAUGACUUGUGGCUGGGGGUGAAAGGCCAAUCAAACCGGGAGAUAGCUGGUUCUCCCCGAAAGCUAUUUAGGUAGCGCCUCGUGAAUUCAUCUCCGGGGGUAGAGCACUGUUUCGGCAAGGGGGUCAUCCCGACUUACCAACCCGAUGCAAACUGCGAAUACCGGAGAAUGUUAUCACGGGAGACACACGGCGGGUGCUAACGUCCGUCGUGAAGAGGGAAACAACCCAGACCGCCAGCUAAGGUCCCAAAGUCAUGGUUAAGUGGGAAACGAUGUGGGAAGGCCCAGACAGCCAGGAUGUUGGCUUAGAAGCAGCCAUCAUUUAAAGAAAGCGUAAUAGCUCACUGGUCGAGUCGGCCUGCGCGGAAGAUGUAACGGGGCUAAACCAUGCAC